UUAAGUUACUUAUUGAGAAUAAUAGCCUAUAUAAAAUUCUAAUUUACAUGCAAUGAAAUUGGACUCGCAGUAUAUGGAUUUACUAAAUAAAAAAAGAAGUAGAGAUUUUUAAGUUCUGAAUAAGAAAGUGCCAGCAUUCGCGGUUAUACUUUUAGAAAAAUAGGUAUUUAAAUCUCAAAAAUUAACAUUUCAUGAGGUCAAAUUUAAAAAAUGUUAGUAAAAUUUGAUGAAAAUAGUCCAGUGAAUCGGAUUAGUCCCCGAGUAAUAAAGAUAAGUUUUUUAGUAGUACUGAAUAGAAAACUAAACUCAAAUGGCAGAAUUAUCUCUCAAAUUAGGGAAACCUGUAUUAACAGAAUUUACUCUUUAGAUUUUAAUUUUUUUAAAGUAUGGCUGUCUUACUUUAUUCAGAAAUUGUCUUAGUCAAGUAAUAUUUUAUAUAAUUAAUAUUUAUAGGUUGCAUUAAAUUAUAAAAUAGAGUAUUUAAUAGUAAGCUAAAAAACGCUGAAUAUUUUAGUAAUUAGUUCAAAUUGUCCGUCACUCUCUUAGGAGAUAAGUCGUAGCAAAGUAAUAGUUAUGGAAAUAGCUAUUAA
rnacentral:rRNA from 1 species